UACGUAGGUGGCAAGCGUUGUCCGGAAUUAUUGGGCGUAAAGCGCGCGCAGGUGGUUUCUUAAGUCUGAUGUGAAAGCCCCCGGCUCAACCGGGGAGGGUCAUUGGAAACUGGGGAACUUGAGUGCAGAAGAGGAUAGUGGAAUUCCAAGUGUAGCGGUGAAAUGCGUAGAGAUUUGGAGGAACACCAGUGGCGAAGGCGACUGUCUGGUCUGUAACUGACGCUGAUGGACGAAAGCGUGGGGAGCGAACAGG
rnacentral:rRNA from 1 species